rnacentral:rRNA from 1 species
GAGAUGAGGAGCUUGCUCUUCAAAUCGAGUGGCGAACGGGUGAGUAACGCGUGAGGAACCUGCCUCAAAGAGGGGGACAACAGUUGGAAACGACUGCUAAUACCGCAUAAGCCCACGGCUCGGCAUCGAGCAGAGGGAGAAGGAGCAAUCCGCUUUGAGAUGGCCUCGCGUCCGAUUAGCUAGUUGGUGAGGUAACGGCCCACCAAGGCGACGAUCGGUAGCCGGACUGAGAGGUUGAACGGCCACAUUGGGACUGAGACACGGCCCAGACUCCUACGGGAGGCAGCAGUGGGGAAUAUUGCACAAUGGGGGAAACCCUGAUGCAGCGACGCCGCGUGGAGGAAGAAGGUCUUCGGAUUGUAAACUCCUGUUGUUGAGGAAGAUAAUGACGGUACUCAACAAGGAAGUGACGGCUAACUACGUGCCAGCAGCCGCGGUAAAACGUAGGUCACAAGCGUUGUCCGGAAUUACUGGGUGUAAAGGGAGCGCAGGCGGGAGAACAAGUUGAAGUGAAAUCCAUGGGCUCAACCCAUGAACUGCUUUCAAAACUGUUUUUCUUGAGUAGUGCAGAGGUAGGCGGAAUCCCCGGUGUAGCGGUGGAAUGCGUAGAUAUCGGGAGGAACACCAGUGGCGAAGGCGGCCUACUGGGCACCAACUGACGCUGAGGCUCGAAAGUGUGGGUAGCAAACAGGAUUAGAUACCCUGGUAGUCCACACCGUAAACGAUGAUUACUAGGUGUUGGAGGAUUGACCCCUUCAGUGCCGCAGUUAACACAAUAAGUAAUCCACCUGGGGAGUACGACCGCAAGGUUGAAACUCAAAGGAAUUGACGGGGGCCCGCACAAGCAGUGGAGUAUGUGGUUUAAUUCGACGCAACGCGAAGAACCUUACCAAGUCUUGACAUCCUGCGACGCACAUAGAAAUAUGUGUUUCCUUCGGGACGCAGAGACAGGUGGUGCAUGGUUGUCGUCAGCUCGUGUCGUGAGAUGUUGGGUUAAGUCCCGCAACGAGCGCAACCCUUAUGGUCAGUUACUACGCAAGAGGACUCUGGCCAGACUGCCGUUGACAAAACGGAGGAAGGUGGGGAUGACGUCAAAUCAUCAUGCCCUUUAUGACUUGGGCUACACACGUACUACAAUGGCGUUAAACAAAGAGAAGCAAGACCGCGAGGUGGAGCAAAACUCAGAAACAACGUCCCAGUUCGGACUGCAGGCUGCAACUCGCCUGCACGAAGUCGGAAUUGCUAGUAAUCGUGGAUCAGCAUGCCACGGUGAAUACGUUCCCGGGCCUUGUACACACAGCCCG